rnacentral:rRNA from 1 species
CCUACGGGUGGCAGCAGUGGGGAAUAUUGCACAAUGGGGGAAACCCUGAUGCAGCGACGCCGCGUGAGUGAAGAAGUAUUUCGGUAUGUAAAGCUCUAUCAGCAGGGAAGAAAAUGAGGGUACCUGAGUAAGAAACGCCGGCCAACUACGUGCCCGCAGCCGCGGGAUCACGUAGGGGGCACGCGGUAUCCGGAUUUUCUGGGUGUAAAGGGAGCGUAGACUGUGAUGCAAGUAAGAAGUGAAAGCCCGGGGUUCAAAUCCGGGAGUGCUUUUGAAACUGGGUGACUGGAGUGCAGGAGAGGUAAGCGGAAUUCCUGGUGUAGCGGUGAAAUGCGUAGAUAUCAGGAGGAACACCAGUGGCGAAGGCGGCUUACUGGACUGUAACUGACGUUGAGGCUCGAAAGCGUGGGGAGCAAACAGGAUUAGAUACCCCAGUAGUC